CCCAGAGUCCAGAUGCCUCCCACCUUCCCGCCUCCCUCCUUCCCCCAGGUGCUGGCUGGAGGGCCGAGGACUCCCCUCAGCCCUUUGCCCCGGGCAAGGGCUGUAGUUAGCAGCCAAACUGGGCAUGCUCAGAGUCCGCCAGCGGGGGCAGGUUUGCAUUACAAGCGUUUGCACUCCGCGGCUGGCGGGAGGCUGCAGCUGGAGCCCCAGUGACUGGAGUUGGAGUUGCCGGGAGUUUUCCCUCUCACCCCUCCCUAGCUGCGCGCGCGGGAGAAGGAAACGGAGCGGAGGAGGCAGCCCGGGCCCGACCGAGCCUUCCUUGCUGGAGCCCAGCACUCCGCGUGGGGUAAGCCCCACAGAUAGAGGCGGCUAGAGCCGGGGCGCGUGCCGCGCACUUGUACCUCCGGGAGCACUAGCCGCGUUGCGAGAGAAAUUACUGGGUGUCCUCCAUCUUUGAUCUACAAUGAGUGCCAAAUCUGCAAUCAGCAAAGAAAUUUUUGCACCUCUUGAUGAGCGGAUGCUGGGAGCUGUCCAAGUCAAGCGGAGGACAAAGAAAAAGAUUCCUUUCCUAGCAACUGGUGGUCAAGGCGAAUAUCUAACCUACAUCUGCCUGUCAGUGACAAACAAAAAGCCCACACAAGCAUCUAUCACAAAGGUCAAACAAUUUGAAGGCUCCACAUCUUUUGUACGAAGGUCUCAGUGGAUGCUUGACCAGCUUCGCCAGGUUAAUGGUAUCGACCCCAACCGGGAUUCUGCAGAAUUUGAUUUACUAUUUGAAAAUGCUUUUGAUCAAUGGGUGGCAAGCACAGCUUCAGAAAAAUGCACCUUUUUCCAGAUUCUCCAUCAUACUUGUCAGCGGUACCUCACAGACAAGAAACCAGAAUUUAUUAAUUGUCAGUCCAAGAUUAUGGGAGGAAACAGCAUACUUCAUUCAGCAGCAGACAGUGUAACGAGUGCAGUGCAGAAGGCCAGCCAGGCCUUGAACGAGCGUGGGGAAAGGUUAGGUCGAGCAGAGGAAAAGACAGAAGACAUGAAGAACAGUGCCCAGCAGUUUGCCGAAACUGCUCACAAGCUUGCCAUGAAGCAUAAGUGCUGAAGUACUUACUGCCUAUCCUGAUGACCCUCCCAAGAGAAAUGGAAAAGAUUGGUUCAGCAGUUUUUACAAGAAUUCCAAAAUUCCACCUGCUUCUUGUUGCCAAUUCAUUGGAAAUUGGUUUGUGUUUUUUUCAGACAUUAGUAUUGGAGAGGAGGGGAAAGAUGUUGUGUUUUUACAUUUCUGUAGUGACCUUAAGAAAUGCUGCACUAUCUUCAAUUUGGGGAGGGAGGAAUUUUUUUGGGUAUUUUUUCCCCAAAAUGUCUUAGAUGUUUUGUUUUUUAAGUAAGAAAAAUGGACCAAAUAACUUGAACAGGGUGAAAACUGGCAAAAUCUGGAUUUUUUCCUGAUAUGAAACAGGAAGACAUUUUAAUUUGGCUACAUCAAAUGUUAUUGUUUCUGUAUGAAAAUAAAAUUCAAAGAGUGAUUAAUUUUUUUCCCCUC
rnacentral:lncRNA from 1 species